UGGGGAAUAUUGGACAAUGGGGGCAACCCUGAUCCAGCAAUGCCGCGUGUGUGAAGAAGGCCUGCGGGUUGUAAAGCACUUUCAGUGGGAAAGAAGGGCUUGGGGCUAAUAUCCUCGAGCCUUGACGUUACCCAAAGAAGAAGCACCGGCUAACUCCGUGCCAGCAGCCGCGGUAAUACGGAGGGUGCGAGCGUUAAUCGGAAUUACUGGGCGUAAAGCGCGCGUAGGUGGUUGAAUAAGUCGAUUGUGAAAUCCCCGGGCUUAACCUGGGAAUUGCAUUCGAUACUGUUCAGCUGGAGUGUGGUAGAGGGAAGCGGAAUUCCGGGUGUAGCGGUGAAAUGCGUAGAUAUCCGGAGGAACACCAGUGGCGAAGGCGGCUUCCUGGACCAACACUGACACUGAGGCGCGAAAGCGUGGGGAGCAAACAG
rnacentral:rRNA from 1 species